AUUGCACGCUGGCGGCAGGCCUAACACAUGCAAGUCGAGCGAGCGGCGGACGGGUGAGUAAUGUAUGGGGACUGCCCGAUAGCGGGGGAUAACUACUGGAAACGGUGGCUAAUACCGCAUACUAUCGGAUAACCCAUAUGGGAUUGGCUAGUAGGUGGGGUAACGGCUCACCUAGGCGACGAUCACUAGCUGGUCUGAGGGGAUGAACAGCCAACCUGGGACUGAGGAACGGGCCAGACUCCGACGGAGGCAGCAGUGGGGAAUAUUGCACAAUGGGCGCAAGCCUGAUGCAGCCAUGCCGCGUGUAUGAAGAAGGCCUUAGGGUUGUAAAGUACUGUCAGCGGGGAGGCGUUACCCGCAGAAGAAGCACCGGCUAACUCCGUGCCAGCAGCCGCGGGAAUUC
rnacentral:rRNA from 1 species